rnacentral:rRNA from 1 species
AUGGCAGCUAGUCAAGCGUGCUUCAACCGGCUUGAAAAAAAGCUUCAACCGGCAUCGAAAAAAGCUUUAACUAUGAAAAUAAGCUACAACCGGCGCAGAAGAAAGGCUUCAAACAUUGAAAAAAAGCUUCAACCGGCGCCGAGAAAAGCUUCAACCGUUGUGAAAAAAAGUUUCGAUCGGAAUGGGAAAAAGCUUCAUCCGGUGUGGAAAAAAGCUUCAACUGGUGUGAAAAAAAGCUUCCACGGUGAAACUUCGAAAACGGGCGCCGACGGAAAUCUACGGGAGGACGGCGAAAGCUGCAACGACAGCUACAAGCGUCUAUGGAAAAAGCUUCAACUGACCUGA